AUGGCCUGGGCUCCUCUUCUCACCCUCUUCAUUCAUUGCACAAGAUCCUGGACCCAGUCUGUGCUGACUCAGCCGCCCUUAGUGUCUGGGAACCUGGGCCAACAGGUCACCAUCUCCUGCACUGGGAGCAGCACCAACCUUGGCAGUUACUAUGCAGGCUGGUACCAACAGCUUCCAGGCCAAGCCCCUAGAGCCCUUGUCUAUGGUAAUAACAAUCGACCCUCGGGGAUCCCAGACAGAUUCUCAGGUUCUUAUUCUGGGAAUUCAGCCUCCCUGACCAUCAGUGGGCUCCAGGGGGAGGAUGAGGCUCAUUAUUACUGUGGAUCCGAUGAUACCAGCUUAGAGUUCGCACUGUGCUUCAGGCCUGCAAGGAAGUGA